rnacentral:rRNA from 1 species
AUUGAACGCUGGCGGCAGGCCUAACACAUGCAAGUCGAGCGGAUGAAGGGAGCUUGCUCCUGGAUUCAGCGGCGGACGGGUGAGUAAUGCCUAGGAAUCUGCCUGGUAGUGGGGGAUAACGUCCGGAAACGGGCGCUAAUACCGCAUACGUCCUGAGGGAGAAAGUGGGGGAUCUUCGGACCUCACGCUAUCAGAUGAGCCUAGGUCGGAUUAGCUAGUUGGUGGGGUAAAGCCCUACCAAGGCGACGAUCCGUAACUGGUCUGAGAGGAUGAUCAGUCACACUGGAACUGAGACACGGUCCAGACUCCUACGGGAGGCAGCAGUGGGGAAUAUUGGACAAAGGGCGAAAGCCUGAUCCAGCCAUGCCGCGUGUGUGAAGAAGGUCUUCGGAUUGUAAAGCACUUUAAGUUGGGAGGAAGGGCAGUAAGUUAAUACCUUGCUGUUUUGACGUUACCAACAGAAUAAGCACCGGCUAACUUCGUG